rnacentral:rRNA from 1 species
GGUUAAGCGACUAAGCGUACACGGUGGAUGCCCUGGCAGUCAGAGGCGAUGAAGGACGUGCUAAUCUGCGAUAAGCGUCGGUAAGGUGAUAUGAACCGAUAUAACCGGCGAUUUCCGAAUGGGGAAACCCAGUGUGUUUCGACACACUAUCAUUAACUGAAUCCAUAGGUUAAUGAGGCGAACCGGGGGAACUGAAACAUCUAAGUACCCCGAGGAAAAGAAAUCA